UACAGAGGUCUCAAGCGUUGUUCGGAUUCAUUGGGCGUAAAGGGCGCGUAGGCUGCGGGGCAAGUCAGAUGUGAAAUCCCUGGGCUCAACCCAGGAACUGCAUUUGAAACUCCCUUUCUUGAGUGUCGGAGAGGAAAGUGGAAUUCCUGGUGUAGAGGUGAAAUUCGUAGAUAUCAGGAGGAACACCGGUGGCGAAGGCGGCUUUCUGGACGACAACUGACGCUGAGACGCGAAAGCGUGGGGAGCAAACAGG
rnacentral:rRNA from 1 species